AUUGAACGCUGGCGGCAGGCCUAACACAUGCAAGUCGGACGAGAGGCGGACGGGUGAGUAAUGUAUGGGGCACUGCCUGAUGGAGGGGGAUAACUACUGGAAACGGUAGCUAAUACCGCAUACCAUCAGAUGAACCCAUAUGGGAUUAGCUUGUAGGUGGGGUAACGGCUCACCUAGGCGACGAGCCCUAGCUGGUCUGAGAGGAUGAUCAGCCACCCUGGAACUGGGACACGGCCCAGACUCCUGCGGGAGGCAGCAGUGGGGAAUAUUGCACAAUGGGCGCAAGCCUGAUGCAGCCAUGCCGCGUGUAUGAAGAAGGCCUUCGGGUUGUAAAGUACUUUCAGUCGGGAGGCGUUACCUGCAGAAGAAGCACCGGCUAACUCCGUGCCAGCAGCCGCGGUAAUAC
rnacentral:rRNA from 1 species